rnacentral:rRNA from 1 species
UGGGGAAUAUUGCACAAUGGGCGCAAGCCUGAUGCAGCCAUGCCGCGUGUGUGAAGAAGGCCUUCGGGUUGUAAAGCACUUUCAGCGGGGAGGACGGCGUUAAGGUUAAUAACCUUGGCGAUUGACGUUACCCGCAGAAGAAGCACCGGCUAACUCCGUGCCAGCAGCCGCGGUAAUACGGAGGGUGCAAGCGUUAAUCGGAAUUACUGGGCGUAAAGCGCACGCAGGCGGUCUGUCAAGUCGGAUGUGAAAUCCCCGGGCUCAACCUGGGAACUGCAUUCGAAACUGGCAGGCUAGAGUCUUGUAGAGGGGGGUAGAAUUCCAGGUGGAGCGGUGAAAUGCGUAGAGAUCUGGAGGAAUACCGGUGGCGAAGGCGGCCCCCUGGACAAAGACUGACGCUCAGGUGCGAAAGCGUGGGGAGCAAACAGG